UGUCAAAAGCUGAUUCUUAACCUGCUUUGUC
rnacentral:piRNA from 1 species